GUGAAUCAUCAAAUCUUUGAACGCAAAUUGCACUCUCUGGCAUUCCGGGGAGUAUGCCUGUUUGAGGGUCAGUUUAAAUAAAAAUCGUGGAGUUGCUGUUUUGUGACCCAGCGGAGUUGGGGGAUCUUUGACCUUUUAAAAUGUUUAAGUCACCUAAAAUUGAUACCUUGUGCAUCUCAGACGUGCAUAAGAUUAUUUUUUUAUCCGUUCGGAGUUGCCAACUUUUGAUUAGGUAUGACGAUGCUGUUUGUG
rnacentral:misc_RNA from 1 species